CUAUUAGGGCCUUGCGGGACCCUGCGCCCCUCACUGUCUAACAGGGCAGGUUUGCACUGACUGAGGGCGAUGUAAGAGUUAACAGGUGGCGGCAGUGUUUAGAUGCACACAUAUCUAUCUGGGAAAUGACCAAGAUGAGGACAAGAACCCAGCAGCAGCAAACCACUCGUUAUGCCAUUGCUGUCAGCCAAGAAAACAAAGCAUCCUAGCGCCUCCUAUGCAUGGAUGUGAAGACUAACACAUUUAAUGAACACUGUAAUUUAAAAUACAGCAUGUGUUUGUGUGUGACAAAUCCACUGCCCGCUGAUCACACAUCUUACAUCCUGCCACAUGGUGAGGAUUUGCCAGC
rnacentral:lncRNA from 1 species